rnacentral:rRNA from 1 species
UACGUAGGGGGCAAGCGUUGUCCGGAUUUAUUGGGCGUAAAGAGCGUGUAGGCGGCCAGGUAGGUCAGCUGGGAAAACUCGAGGCUCAACCUCGAGACGCCGGUUGAAACCAUCUGGCUAGAGUCCGGAAGAGGAGAGUGGAAUUCCUGGUGUAGCGGUGAAAUGCGCAGAUAUCAGGAAGAACACCCGUGGCUAAGGCGGCUCUCUAGUACGGUACUGACGCUGAGACGCGAAAGCGUGGGGAGCGAACAGG